rnacentral:rRNA from 1 species
GAUGAACGCUGGCGGCGUGCUUAACACAUGCAAGUCGAACGGGAUCCCAGGAGCUUGCUCCUGGGUGAGAGUAGCGAACGGGUGAGUAAUGCGUGACCGACCUGCCCCAUACACCGGAAUAGCUCCUGGAAACGGGUGGUAAUGCCGGAUGCUCCAGUUGACCGCAUGGUCCUCUGGGAAAGCUUUUGCGGUAUGGGAUGGGGUCGCGUCCUAUCAGCUUGAUGGCGGGGUAACGGCCCACCAUGGCUUCGACGGGUAGCCGGCCUGAGAGGGCGACCGGCCACAUUGGGACUGAGAUACGGCCCAGACUCCUACGGGAGGCAGCAGUGGGGAAUAUUGCACAAUGGGCGCAAGCCUGAUGCAGCGACGCCGCGUGCGGGAUGACGGCCUUCGGGUUGUAAACCGCUUUUGACUGGGAGCAAGCCCU